CUUGGAUAAAUAUGAAACGAGUGCGAAAGGACCAAUGGGAGGCCGGCAUGCUAAUGAGAGUCGGUCUGAGCUCGCGCUGUAUGUCAAAGAUGGAGUCCGAGGCCGCGAGGCCGCCAACGGACCGGAAACCGCUUUUAACAUCGGGGACACACGGGUCGCGCGCGCCUCCGCCGCUGCACCGGACGCACGUGCUGAUCCCGGCCUGCACCGAGCGGGACGUUCUCUUGUUUGCUCGUGUCUCUCUGCUCCGGACCAAGUGGUUGAAGUCCCGCCGCUCGCGCUGCUCCAGUGGACCGGAGCGCCUCCUCCUCAGGUACCGACCGUCCGUUCCUCAGGCCCGGCGUCGGUAAGCCUCCUCCGCGCGUGUCGAGCAAAGCCUGCGCGCGUGCACGCAGAGAUGAUCCAGGAAGUGGAAGGAUCUCCUUGUUCCUCCUGGUGUUUAAAAGCACAGAGUCCCUGUUAGAUGAAGUGUGUGUGUGUGUGUGUGUGUGUGUUUCUCAGACACACACACACUGACGUGUCCUCAGUGAUGAAACCCUAUCAAUGUUGCCUCUGCUUCAGCCCGACUUCACACAGUAGUGCAAUAUUGCUUAUAGGGUCUCUGCUCUGAGGGAUGGCCUCCAUCCUCUGGAUUCUAUCUUCACUCAUGUUAGCAUGUGGCUAAAGGUGCUUUUAGUCAGAGAAACAAAUGAAAAGUAAUGCUCAUCAUAAUCAUGUUCCACCAAGUUACAUUAUUUUAAUAGCUGUAAUUACUGUGCAGUUAUUUAUAUAUAUAUAUAUAUAUAUAUAUAUAUAUAUACUGUAUAUAUAUCACAUAAUCUUGUAAAAAUGAAUGAAAAAGUUACAUCUUUUCAUUUUUGGAAAGUUGAUGAUAAUUGCAAAUUGAUUAGUUAAAGGUUUUUGAUUGUUUUAAACAGGAAAUAUGUUCCUAAAGUUUAUUAACUGUGUAAAUGUGUUCGACUGAAACUUCUUGUAGCAGCUAAUGUUUGACUUUGUUUUUCCUUUUGUGUUAGAAAUGUGUUUAAAGUGUGUUGAAUUGUAAAGUAUAUGUAUUGUGUGCUUUUUGUAAACAUCACAGACCUUCCUCUGCUCGACACUCUUUCCAUGUUGCACUACUGAGCGCCGCACCAAGCAGUGCAAUGAUGAAAGGGCAUCGAGCAGCCGGGGCUGCUGCACCCACUCUUAUCACCCUUAUUCAUCCCAAUGUCAUUAUUUAUCCUGAUGUUACAGUAUUAUUCACCCUAAUGUUGUUGUUUUUCAUCCAAACUCUCCUCAUUAUAGUUAUAACGAGAGCUUGUAAUAAACAUUAUCCUGCUUUAACUCUGUGCA
rnacentral:lncRNA from 1 species